rnacentral:lncRNA from 1 species
GCAUCAUCGAAAAAGAAUGCAGAAAACUAUGCUCAGUUUCCAAAAGUAUAUCCCCACACUUUGAGGGGCUGCAUUUAUCAAUCUGUGGCAGGGUUCCACGCUUGCUGAGUGUCGUAAGAGCUUACGAUAGUAAAGGGAGAGUUGGGAACAGCCCCCUAUUAAGUAGCAGAUUGUAGAGAGUCUUCCCACUUGGAAAAGGGCUUCUGAUCUGUGACCUCCGCAAGAGGAGAACUGAGUUUUCGUCUGCUUAGAAUAUUGAUUAUCCUCCCGUAAAACUUGUAUCCAUCAUUGCCAGAAGGGGCAUAUCCAAAGAGGCUUUACUGUUUUUGUAUUCUGAAAUCAAACGAGCGACUGCACAACUUCAUUUCCACAGGUCGGCGUUGGAAUAUUCUUCGCAGUUUAAACAUGCAGCCUCAUUCAUGUUCUGCUGAACCA